UAGUGGCAGACGGGUGAGUAAUGUAUAGGAAUCUACCUAGUAGUAUGGAAUAAUUGUUGGAAACGGCAACUAAUACCGUAUACGCCCUACGGGGGAAAAAUUUAUUGCUAUUAGAUGAGCCUAUAUUAGAUUAGCUAGUUGGUGGAGUAAUAGCCUACCAAGGCAAUGAUCUAUAGCUGAUCUGAGAGGAUGAUCAGCCACACUGGAACUGAGAUACGGUCCAGACUCCUACGGGAGGCAGCAGUGGGGAAUAUUGGACAAUGGGCGAAAGCCUGAUCCAGCCAUGCCGCAUGAGUGAAGAAGGCCUUUGGGUUGUAAAGCUCUUUUAGUGAGGAAGAUAAUGACGGUACUCACAGAAGAAGUCCUGGCUAACUCCGUGCCAGCAGCCGCGGUAAUACGGAGAGGGCUAGCGUUAUUCGGAAUUAUUGGGCGUAAAGGGCGCGUAGGCUGGUUAAUAAGUUAAAAGUGAAAUCCCGAGGCUUAACCUUGGAAUUGCUUUUAAAACUAUUAAUCUAGAGAUUGAAAGAGGAUAGAGGAAUUCCUGAUGUAGAGGUAAAAUUCGUAAAUAUUAGGAGGAACACCAGUGGCGAAGGCGUCUAUCUGGUUCAAAUCUGACGCUGAAGCGCGAAGGCGUGGGGAGCAAACAGGAUUAGAUACCCUGGUAGUCCACGCUGUAAACGAUGAAUGUUAAAUAUGGGAAGUUUACUUUCUGUAUUACAGCUAACGCGUUAAACAUUCCGCCUGGGGACUACGGUCGCAAGAUUAAAACUCAAAGGAAUUGACGGGGACCCGCACAAGCGGUGGAGCAUGUGGUUUAAUUCGAUGCAACGCGAAAAACCUUACCACUUCUUG
rnacentral:rRNA from 1 species